rnacentral:lncRNA from 1 species
AGGACAUUGGUUUUAGGGUUAUGAUGACAUCAUACCAGUGAGACCUAAAAUUCUAAAAUCCUAAUUUAGAAUAUUCCCAGUCAAAUUGGUAUAUUGAGUCGGGGAUCAAUAUUACCAGAAAAAAUGGCACAUCUUAUGUAUGCUCGAUAUAGAGGGUGAUUGAUCUCACAAUCACUUGUGUGAGACACUAAUACAAAGAUGUGGGUGCUCAUUAGAGGAAUGAGUUCACUGAAAUGACCAGCCAUGAGAACAUCUUAUGGAUUCUUACUAAUUGUCAAAAGAUGGUUCUCAUAGUGGGAGUUGUGCAAGUGAUCCUUAGACCUGAGAUCACCAUGGUACCUUGUGCACUUGAAGCUAUGUUUUGGUUUACCCUCAUUCACGACAUUGCAUUGUGUACGGGGUAUUCUGGAUAUGGUGGAUUUUGUACGAAGGUUAUGAGUAGGUCAACAAGGAAUUAGUCACUUCUAGUAAGAGAAGGUAACAUCCUACUUACUCUAAUCUUAUGAUGAUUCAAGAAGCCUUUGAUCAAAGCAAAAUGAAUAUUAGAAAGAGUUUCUAUUGUUUCAUUGUUUGAAUUAUCAUAUAAAAGAUUGAGA